rnacentral:rRNA from 1 species
AUUGAACGCUGGCGGCGGGCUUAACACAUGCAAGUCGAGCGGAGAUGAGGUGCUUGCACCUUAUCUUAGCGGCGGACGGGUGAGUAAUGCUUAGGAAUCUGCCUAUUAGUGGGGGACAACAUUCCGAAAGGAAUGCUAAUACCGCAUACGUCCUACGGGAGAAAGCAGGGGAUCUUCGGACCUUGCGCUAAUAGAGGAGCCUAAGUCGGAUUAGCUAGUUGGUGGGGUAAAGGCCUACCAAGGCGACGAUCUGUAGCGGGUCUGAGAGGAUGAUCCGCCACACUGGGACUGAGACACGGCCCAGACUCCUACGGGAGGCAGCAGUGGGGAAUAUUGGACAAUGGGGGGAACCCUGAUCCAGCCAUGCUGCGUGUGUGAAGAAGGCCUUAUGGUUGUAAAGCACUUUAAGCGAGGAGGAGGCUACUGAGACUAAUACUCUUGGAUAGUGGACGUUACUCGCAGAAUAAGCACCGGCUAACUCUGUGCCAGCCGCCGCGGUAAGAC